CAGGUAGCUCAGUUGGUAGAGCAGAGGACUGAAAAUCCUCGUGUCGGUGGUUCGAGUCCGCCUCUGGG
rnacentral:tRNA from 1 species